rnacentral:rRNA from 1 species
AUACGGAGGGUGCAAGCGUUGUUCGGAAUCACUGGGCGUAAAGGGCGCGCAGGCGGUUUGGUAAGUCAGAUGUUAAAGCCCACGGCUCAACCGUGGAAGUGCAUUUGAAACUGCCAGACUUGAGUACCAGAGGGGAAAGUGGAAUUCCCGGUGUAGAGGUGAAAUUCGUAGAUAUCUGGAGGAAUACCGGUGGCGAAGGCGACUUUCUGGCUGGAUACUGACGCUGAGGCGCGAAAGCGUGGGGAGCAAACAGGAUUAGAUACCCUAGUAGUCC